rnacentral:rRNA from 1 species
UACGUAGGGUGCAAGCGUUAAUCGGAAUCACUGGGCUUAAAGGGUGCGUAGGCGGCCAUGUAAGUGAGGUGUGAAAUCCCUCGGCUCAACCGAGGAACUGCGCUUCAUACUGCAUGGCUUGAGGGAGACAGGGGUAAGCGGAACUGAUGGUGGAGCGGUGAAAUGCGUUGAUAUCAUCAGGAACACCGGUGGCGAAAGCGGCUUACUGGGUCUCUUCUGACGCUGAGGUACGAAAGCUAGGGGAGCGAACGGG